rnacentral:rRNA from 1 species
GACGAACGCUGGCGGCGUGCCUAAUACAUGCAAGUAGGACGCAGUUGCGAACGUGUGAGUAACGCGUAGGUAACUGCCUAUUAGAGGGGGAUAACUAUUGGAAACGAUAGCUAAUACCGCAUACUAGUAGAUGGACCUGCGUUGUAUUAGCUAGUAGGUAGGGUAAUGGCCUACCUAGGCAACGAUACAUAGCCGACCUGGAGGGGUGAUCGGCCACACUGGGACUGAGAAACGGCCCAGACUCCUACGGGAGGCAGGAGUAGGGAAUCUUCGGCAAUGGGGGGAACCCUGAACGAGCAAAGGCGCGGGAGUGAAGAAGGUUUUCGGAGCGUAAAGCUCUGUUGUUAAGGAAGCGGUACUUAACCAGAAAGGGACGGCUAACUACGUGCCAGCAGCCGCGGUAAUUC